CUCUGAAAUAUUGUUGUUGUUGUUGUUUGAAAAAUAUAUAUAAAUGACCCUUACCUCAGAGUUAUGGAGAAUAGAUUAAAAGUGCUGCAGGGGAGACAUGGGUGAGUUAGCUCAGACUAACAAAUUUAGGAAGGGACGAGGAAAAAGGGGACCACACAGGCCAAAAAGUGAGUGUGUGGAGGUUUGUUUGCCCCUGUGCAAGGGGAAAGGAAGGACAUGAAUGAGGGAAAUGAGUUGGGUGUUGAUAAAUAUGUUGAAACAUCUGACCUCAACUUUUGGAGUUAAGAGUACAGUCUUUACAGACUAUUCAAAAUAAUUCUGGCUUUUCUUUCUCUUUCUCUUGCUUUUCUCAAUGAAAUCCUUAUGAAGUAUGUACUAAAAACAGGGCUGUGAGUUUCAAGAGGGCAGAGGCAUGUCUGUUCACUUCUUUGUGACUAGGACCUAGCUCAGUGCCUGAACCACGGUAGAUUCUCACCACCUGUUUGAUUCUGAUGAAUUCACUGAGAACACCGACUCAUUGGUACAGGCAGCACCUCCUUAAGAGUUUUCUUUUAAACCACCUUAGCAUUUAUGUGCUCCAACCUCAAAGCAACACCUGUCAAGUUUCUCUCCUCUGGCUAGUUCUCAGCCAAGUUGUCACCCACUUGGAAGAGAGUGAAACUAAAAUAGUUUAUUACCAUCUACUGCGCUACUAAGUACUGGACACUGUGUUAGGUUCCUACUGACAUUUUAAUCAUUCCGAAUGACAUCAAGAGCUAGAUUCAUUCCACAGUCCAGAAGCUUCUUAUCAAUGAGUGCAGAAGUUCAAACAAUACUGAUCUGUACUUAUAGAACUAUAAGGAAAAUAGAUAAAUAAAAGCAAAAGUACCACUGACUUAUAUUUCUGUUCCUUUUGCUUUACCUUGGAAGCUGGGCCAUCACUGGAGGCGAUUGUCCAGGGCUUUACAAUACAAGCGUGCAUUUGUUCAAAGUCACAGACCCUAAGCUGUUAAAAGGUACAGCUUAUAAUUCUUGGUUCUUGAACAAGGAAAUUUCCUUUCCAAUUGUCAACUGUGAAGCAGUCAAUUUUAAGUUCUCUUUUGCAAUCUUUGCAAUAUAUACAGCUUCAUGGUUCCUGCCUGGAAGAAAAAAGGCAGCAGCUGGAGGAAGAGACUUGUUCUUAACUCUGAGCUGAAAUUCUGUUCAGUUGCCAUUUGCUGAUAGAACCCAUGUGUACCCAAACCUACGGUCAAAAAAUAUGUCUAUGGCAAAUUGUGAUAGUUCACAAGUUCACAGGAUGUGAAAAACAGGGCAGAUAAGAAUCUAGUGCUUCAUGGUGCCACAGAUGUCCAAAAGCAGAACAGAUACUGUUGUUUAGCAGAAUGCAUGGGUCACCAGCUAUAACAACUACCUAGUUAACUCUUACAUCCUACUUUAAGUUUCUGCUUAUUAUAUUUAUCAGCAUCAUGCAAAAUCUUUUUAGGUAGUGGAUUCACUUAUACCAUUUUAUGCUGCCCUAUUUAUCUUCUCUAUUUCAUCUACUACUUGGAACAAACACUCUGCGAGGAACACACUAUGCUUAAGGCAAGAACUAUGGCCAGUAACACGUGAGAGGGCAAGAUCACAACCUGAAAUUUGGGAGCUGUUUUCACUCCAUAAGCCGCUGUUGUCUUAAGUACUUAUGAUGUGGCCCAGAAAAGACAAAUAGUCUUCUGAAAAUAUCUCUACAAAAAAAAAAAAAAGCCUUCUCCCCAGUACCUAUAAAACAUUCAUAACACCUUCAUUGUGCUGUGAAUCCUUAGCAGGAGUUGAUAACAGUGUAUGAAUUUUUAAUGUAACAUUUAUAAAUGGUUAUUAAAACUAUCCUUAAAGUAAAGUGUCAGUUUAUUUUUAAUUAACUGUUGGCUAUUUAAGCUCCCAGAUGGCCUGGGGAAAGACCAAUAAGCCCACAUGUCAAUUAUCCUCCCUCCUGCUCCAUCUUUAACCCCUUAUUGCUUGCUGUCACAAAGACCAAUGCAUGUAAGUUCUAAGAACUUAAAUAAACUCCAGAUUAUGGUCUUUGGAACAUUUUAUUUCUUAUAAAGGGGUCCUGAAAUGUCUGUCACCUACCAUGGCUACCAUGAAAAUUUGAAUUAAGCACUACAUGGUCUGUCUGAGUCCCAAGAGCCCAGACCAACUUCUACAUACAUAUAUGAUCCAGCAAGAGAGAAAAUCGGGGCAAAGAAGAGUGAUAGGUGGGUUCUAGACUGCUAAACAUGAGGCUUAAGAUUUUAACUUAGGCUAAGUGACAUCCUGCUUGUAUGACCUUGAGCCAAUUUCAGUUUCUUCCGAUGUACUUCUUUAUCUGCAUAUAUAUAAAGCUGAUGUAAAUUGCUCUUAUUUCCUCAAGAGGUUAUAAGCAUCAAAUUAAAAGCUGGGCAUAAUUUUUUUUUUUUUUUUUUUUUUUUUUUUUUUUUUUUUUUUUUUUUUUUUUUUUUUUUUUUUGGUGGGGAGAUACGGAGUCUUGCUCUGUCACCCUGACUGGAGUGCAGUGGCCUGAUCUUGGCUCACUGCAACCUCCACCUCCCAGGUUCAAGCGAUUCUUGUGCCUCAGACUCCCAAGUAGCUGGGACUACAGGUGUGUACCACCAUACCUGGCUAUUUCUUUAUUAUUAUUAUUUUAGUAGAGAUGCGGUUUCACCAU
rnacentral:lncRNA from 1 species